rnacentral:misc_RNA from 1 species
AUUUCGCAAUUCAAAGCUUCAAACACCUAACCUUCCCAAGCUCCUACACGUACAAGGAGCACCUAUCUUACCAGUAUCGCUUGUUCAAAACUUUUGCUCUUUUUCUUUGAAACCCAUCAAACAAGAUUACAAAUUUCUCACUCACACUUUUUCUUUGUCAAUUCCGCCUCUGUCUUCUCUUCCAUCUUUUUACAUAUAAUGCAUACCUUUCUUUGCAUGCUCCUCUCCAUCUCCUCCCACUCUCAGCCAUGAAUUCCUCCCCCGCUGCCCCCGCCACCAUCACCCCUACUACAGUUUCCACCCUUUACAACCGCAAAAACAUCAAGGUCACCCCCGUUAACGGCUUUGACAUGGUCAAGAAGUUUGAUAAUAGUAAUGAUGUACUCCAUGGUGUUUAUAGGUUUGACCCUUCCUUCUUGAAAUGGACGGCGCAAGAUGUGGUCAAUGUAGCUAAACGUCAUUGGGUACCGUGCCUUUUUGGACUUGGGUUGCUGUUUUUUAUGGGCGUGGAAUACACGCUUCGCAUGGUUCCAGCUUCAUCUCCGCCGUUUGACUUGGGGUUUGUUGCCACGCGCCGCCUCCACCGGUUGCUUUCCUCCUGGCCGGAACUCAACACUUUGCUCGCUGCUCUUAAUACGGUGUUUGUGGGUAUGCAAACAGCAUAUAUACUGUGGACAUGGCUAAUAGAGGGCAGGCCAAGAGCUACAAUCUCUGCUCUGUUCUUGUUCACUUGCCGAGGGAUUCUUGGUUUCUCCACUCAGCUUCCAGUACCUGAGGGAUUUCUAGGCUCAGGAGUGGACUUUCCAGUAGGGAAUGUGUCUUUCUUCCUCUUUUUCUCAGGCCACGUUGCUGGUUCUGUGAUCUCAUCGCUGGAUAUGAGAAGAAUGGAGAGGUGGGAAUUGGCAUGGACAUUUGAUGUGCUUAAUGUUCUGCAAUCUGUAAGGCUGCUUGGCACUAGGGGUCACUAUACCAUUGAUUUAGCUGCUGGUGUGGGUGCUGGUUUUCUAUUUGAUUCACUUGCUGGUAAAUAUGUGGAGUGCAAGAGAAAGAAGGCCAUUACUUAUAAUUUUGAAAGAUCAAAAGACUUGUAUAAAGAAUAGAAGGGCUUACAUGGUUUAGUCUCUGCUCUUUCUUUCUUUCCAAGUCCUGGUUAGUUACUCUUUAUGAUGAUUGAUGGGGUAUAAUCCAAAGAAGAAGGAACCAGAAAGAAUCAUUAGAAUCAAAAUUAAGGUUGGAUAGUUAUGGCAGUUGGUGGUGGCCUUGGAAGAUGGGAACUUUGGAGACAAGUAACCAUGAACCAUGUGGUGGGUUGGUACCGGUCUUAAGUGCACUUAACUGAAUGAACACUGUUAAACGAAAGAAAGUUGAUGAAUGGAAAAUGCUUUGAUGUUGGGUGGUGAUGGCCAAUGUAAAUUUUUUUUCCCUCCUACUUUUGUUAAGGAUAAAUUACAAUUUAGUUGUUAAACGAAAGAAAGUAGAUGAAUGGAAAAUGCUUUGAUGUUGGGUGGUGAUGGCCAAUGUAAAUUUUUUUUCCCUCCUACUUUUGUUAAGGAUAAAUUACAAUUUAGUUGUUAAACGAAAGAAAGUA